GAUGUACGCUGGCGGCGUGCCUAAUACAUGCAAGUCGAGCGGCAGCACGGUUUUCGGACUGGUGGCGAGCGGCGGACGGCUGAGUAACGCGUAGGAACAUGCCCUAAAGUGAGGAAUAACUGCCCGAAAGGGUGGCUAAUACCGCAUAGGACCACCGGGGCUUUGGCUCUGUGGUGAAAGGGGGCCUCUGUUUACAAGCUCCUGCUUCUGGAUGAGCCCGCGUCCCAUCAGCUAGUUGGUAGGGUAAUGGCCUACUAAGGCUACGACGGGUAGCGGGACUAAGAGGAUGGCCAGCCACACUGGAACUGAGACACGGUCCAGACUCCUACGGGAGGCAGCAGUGGGGAAUCUUGCGCAAUGGGCGAAAGCCUGACGCAGCGACGCCGCGUGGGUGACGAAGGCCUUCGGGUUGUAAAGCCCUGUGGGGUAGAACGAACUGGCAUCGGGCUAAUAUCUCGGUGUCUUGACGGUACUGCCUUAGCAAGCAUCGGCUAACUCUGUGCCAGCCGCCGCAGUAAGAC
rnacentral:rRNA from 1 species